CGGACAUAUCACGUUGACACACCAGUUCGCGCCCGAUCACCGAAGUUAAGAAUACUGAGGCUGGUCAGUACUUAUAUGAGCAACAGCUUGCGAAUACCAGGUACUGUAAU